GAUGAACGCUAGCGGCAGGCUUAACACAUGCAAGUCGAGGGGCAGCGAGAGAGUAGCAAUACUUUUGUCGGCGACCGGCGGACGGGUGCGUAACGCGUAUGCAACCUACCUUAUACAGGGGGAUAACCUUUCGAAAGGGAGACUAAUACCGCAUAACAUUACUUUGAGGCAUCUUGAGGUAAUUAAAUCUUCGGAGGUAUAAGAUGGGCAUGCGUGACAUUAGCUAGAUGGUAAGGUAACGGCUUACCAUGGCGACGAUGUCUAGGGGAACUGAGAGGUUGGUCCCCCACACUGGAACUGAGACACGGUCCAGACUCCUACGGGAGGCAGCAGUGAGGAAUAUUGGACAAUGGAAGGAAUUCUGAUCCAGCCAUGCCGCGUGAAGGAUUACAGCCCUAUGGGUUUUAAACUCUUUUGUAUGUGAGCAAUAAGUCUUACGAGUAGGACGAUGAGAGUAGCAUACGAAUAAGCAUCGGCUAACUCCGUGCC
rnacentral:rRNA from 1 species